UGUAAGCGUAUACCAAAGUUGUUGCAGUUAAAACGCUCGUAGUCGGAAUUUGGCAGUUCCGGAUGUGUGCACGUCGUGUGCGCACUUCGCGGGGAUUGCUUUUGUGGUCUUGCGUAGGAUGAGGCACUUUUAUUAGUGAACGUCCUCACGCAACCACUUUUUACUGUGAGAAAAUCAGAGUGCUCAAAGCAGGCAUUUGCCGUGAAAGUAUUAGCAUGGAAUAAUAGAAUAGGACUUGGUUCUAUUUUGUUGGUUUGUUGGGACUGAGUAAUGAUUAAGAGGGACAGUUGGGGGCAUUUGUAUUUCGGUGCUAGAGGUGAAAUUCUUAGAUUACCGAAAGACAAACUGCUGCGAAAGCGUCUGCCAAGGAUGUUUUCAUUGA
rnacentral:rRNA from 1 species